rnacentral:rRNA from 1 species
UAGGGAAUCUUCCACAAUGGACGCAAGUCUGAUGGAGCAACGCCGCGUGAGUGAAGAAGGUUUUCGGAUCGUAAAGCUCUGUUGUUGGUGAAGAAGGAUAGAGGCAGUAACUGGUCUUUAUUUGACGGUAAUCAACCAGAAAGUCACGGCUAACUACGUGCCAGCAGCCGCGGUAAUACGUAGGUGGCAAGCGUUGUCCGGAUUUAUAGGGCGUAAAGCGAGCGCAGGCGGAAUGAUAAGUCUGAUGUGAAAGCCCACGGCUCAACCGUGGAACUGCAUCGGAAACUGUCAUUCUUGAGUGCAGAAGAGGAGAGUGGAAUUCCAUGUGUAGCGGUGGAAUGCGUAGAUAUAUGGAAGAACACCAGUGGCGAAGGCGGCUCUCUGGUCUGCAACUGACGCUGAGGCUCGAAAGCAUGGGUAGCGAACAGG